CAUAACAUAACAUACAUCAGGUUCUAUUAAAUCACUCACACUCACUCACUGUCUCUCUCUCUCUCUCUCUCUCUCUCAAAUCCCUAAUUUCUUGAUCUCGUUGAUUGCUUCUAAUCUCGGCAACAAUUUCAUCCUCGAGGAGUCUCAUAGCAUCUCUCUCCAGUGUGAUUUCAGCAUCCAAGUUCGAUCGAUUAAUCGAUUUUAGUCUAAUAGAUUUGGUUUUUCAUCUAUUGUUCGUAUUUAUUCUUCGAAAAUGCUUAUUUAUCGGUGUAAUGUUUAUGUUGAUGAUUUCACUUCGUUGUGUUGAUUUAUGAUGUGCUGGUUCGAAUACACGAUCGCUGAACUGUAGUAUUAAUUUUGGCGCUGAGAUUUGAUGAUUCUGUUAAUUUUGGUGCUGAUUUGAUGAUUUAUGAUGUGCUGGUUCGAAUACUACUAGUUGUUGAUUCUGUUAAUUUUGGUGCUGAGAUUUGAAAUGUAGUAUUAAUUUUGGUGCUGAGAUUUGAUGAUUCUGUUAAUUUCAGCGAACUUGAGAGACGCCUCUAGGGGUUUCCUUACAGAUACUUCUGCUACUAAUUAAGAGUCAAUGUGUUCAACAUUUGGCAGGCAACAUUCUUGUGGCCAUCUCUGAUUACAUUGUUGCAUCUGUAUGUGAAAAUUUGUUACCUUGAAAGUUCAACUUUUUCGUUUUUUGUUUUUUUUUUUUGUUUUUCCUUGUGAUUUAUCUUGCAAAAUUGUAUGUUGAACAUAUUGACUCUCAAUCAGUAGCAGAAGUAUCUGGUUUAAGCAAAUCCAUGAAAAUGUUAUUUCUCUUGUCAAAUAAUUUUGCUGCAAUUGAUGAUUUUAAUUUUAUUUUUUUUUAAUCCCUUGAGGGAUUCAUUCUAGGUGAAGUCUUACACUUCACAAUUUCAAUUUCAACAAUCGUUUUCUCAAAGUCCAAUUUAUUUCAUGACUUGAAAUGCAAAUUACAAUUCUCAAAAUUGAAAAGAAUCAGGCCAAAUUCAGUAAUUUUCAGCUGAAAUUUUAAAAAAUAAGACUUCCAUGCAAUUCAUACAGAUUUUUAGUGGGUCUAAAAGCAAGCACUUCUUUUUUAUGUACGUCAAAAAGCAAGAACAUAGGGGAAAAUGGGUGUAUAUGGAUCCAUUCAACAACACGAGUGUUAAGAAUUUUCUUAAUGUUGUGUUUGAAUUUGUUGAAGGAAAAGAACAAGCUGCUUCUUUUUUUGGUCUGUGUGUGUGAAAUCAGUAACAUUACAGAGUGAAGAGAGGGAGAAGGAUAAAAUUCCAUGAGUUUGAUAAUUUUUUAGCACCAGCCAUUUCUGUAUUUUGAAAAGUUGCUCACUGGCUUGCAAUUAUAUAUUUAUUUAUUUAUUUAUUUUUGAGUAAAGUCCUUUUUUUUUUUUUUGAAUUAAAAUAGGGCCAAAAAAAAAAGAAACUACUGAAAGAGGAACAUCUCUACACCAAACUGAUCCGGCUGCCAAUUACUCUAUAAUUUUUAUAUUGCCUGUGUCUGUCUGUACAUGCAUGUAGCUUACACUUGGUGUUGUAGUAAUAGGAAUAGUUGUCUUGUUUGUGGAUUGAGAUAUUUGAACUGGUUGCCCCAGCUGAUGUUGGCUAAUAUUGGGGAAAGUUGUUGGGUACUUCGCUUUCACCAUUGAUGGUAUUAGUCUUGAAAAAUGAUCAUGUUUGAAGAUGUGGGAGCUGGUCUGUUCUCUUAUACGAAUAAAGUCGUUGAUACAAGAGAUCUUUUUAUGUAAUUUUUCUCUUCUGAUUUUCUAUUAUUAUUUAUGUCUAUUUAUGCUCUGUUUACACGGAUAGGUGUUGGAGUCUGACAGUGUUACAAGUACACUGGAUAGUAUCUGAUAAAUUUAAAUGUGAAAUAACUUGUUUCUUAUAUUCUUUUUGGUGAAAACAACUUGUUAGCUAUUUAACCAUUUGUUGCUAUCUAUAUGCUAAAUGAAUGAGGUGUUUUCAUUCAAUGUUAAGCCUUUGGACAGAAUUCAAAGCAGUAACUAGUAGCUGUUAACUGUCCAGUGGUGGACUUGGGUGAAUUGAGCCUCAAAAAGCUUUAACCACCGGAUCCUGAAAACAAGAAGGUCAUAAUCUAUGAUGAAAACCUGAAGAAAAUUUUUGCAGGGCGAGACCGAGUUGGGUUUCUUGAGAUUGCGGGAUUGAUGAAUCCACACUUUCUCAAGUGAGCCCUUGCAGGAGAAUGGAUUUUGACUUUCAAAGUCAUCGAUGAAUCUGUUUUUUUGUAAAUGAGGGGUCUCAGUAUUUUGCUGAUGAUACUACUUGCAGGAUUUAGCAGUGCUCUCUAUAUGUGACGUAGUAGUUUUUUUUUUGAACUUCUUCCAGUUGCCUACGCAUGAGCCUCGCUCUAUUUUGGUUUUAACGAGUGUUUAUGCUCAUUUUGUGUUCUUGUUAUAUAGGCUACGGAUCAGAAUGCAAUAUUUGUAGUGACGGUCAAUUUUUGGUUUAUAUAUCAUGUUAAGUUUUAGAGGAA